rnacentral:rRNA from 1 species
GAUGAACGCUGGCGGCGUGCCUAAUACAUGCAAGUCGAGCGAACGGACGAGAAGCUUGCUUUUCUGAUGUUAGCGGCGGACGGGUGAGUAACACGUGGAUAACCUACCUAUAAGACUGGGAUAGCUUCGGGAAACCGGAGCUAAUACCGGAUAAUAUUUUGAACCGCAUGGUUCAAAAGUGAAAGACGGUCUUGCUGCCACUUAUAGCUGGAUCCGCGCUGCAUUAGCUAGUUGGUAAGGUAACGGCUUACCAAGGCAACGAUGCAUAGCCGACCUGAGAGGGGGAUCGGCCACACUGGAACUGGGACACGGUCCAGACUCCUACGGGAGGCAGCAGUAGGGAAUCUUCCGCAAUGGGCGAAAGCCUGACGGAGCAACGCCGCGUGAGUGAUGAAGGUCUUCGGAUCGUAAAACUCUGUUAUUAGGGAAGAACAUAUGUGUAAGUAACUGUGCACAUCUUGACGGUACCUAAUCAGAAAGCCACGGCUAACUACGUG